AGGGGCAGCAUGGGAGUAGUAAUACUUCUGAUGGCGACCGGCGCACGGGUGCGUAACGCGUAUGCAACCUACCUGUAACAGGGGGAUAACACUGAGAAAUCGGUACUAAUACCGCAUAACACUAUGAGAGGCAUCUCUUGUGGUUGAAAGUUUCGGCGGUUACAGAUGGGCAUGCGUUGUAUUAGCUGGUUGGUAAGGUAACGGCUUACCAAGGCGACGAUACAUAGGGGGACUGAGAGGUUAACCCCCCACAUUGGUACUGAGACACGGACCAAACUCCUACGGGAGGCAGCAGUGAGGAAUAUUGGUCAAUGGACGGAAGUCUGAACCAGCCAUGCCGCGUGCAGGAAGACGGCUCUAUGAGUUGUAAACUGCUUUUGUACAAGGGUAAACCUGAAUACGUGUAUUCAGCUGAAAGUACUGUACGAAUAAGGAUCGGCUAACUCCGUGCCAGCAGCCGCGGUAAUACGGAGGAUCCAAGCGUUAUCCGGAUUUAUUGGGUUUAAAGGGUGCGUAGGCGGAUUGAUAAGUUAGAGGUGAAAUGUCCGAGCUUAACUCGGGAACUGCCUCUAAUACUGUUGAUCUAGAGAGUAGAUGCGGUAGGCGGAAUGUAUGGUGUAGCGGUGAAAUGCUUAGAGAUCAUACAGAACACCGAUUGCGAAGGCAGCUUACCAAUCUAUAUCUGACGUUGAGGCACGAAAGCGUGGGGAGCAAACAGGAUUAGAUACCCUGGUAGUCCACGCAGUAAACGAUGAUAGCUCGUUGUCGGCGAUACACAGUCGGUG
rnacentral:rRNA from 1 species